UACGUAGGGGGCGAGCGUUGUCCGGAGUUACUGGGCGUAAGGGGCGUGCAGGCGGUGCGGUAAGUUUAGCGUGACAGUCUCCGGCUUAACUGGAGAAGGCCGCUGAAAACUGCUGGACUUGAGGGCCAGAGAGGGACAUAGAAUUCCGGGUGGAGUGGUGAAAUGCGUAGAUAUCCGGAGGAAUACCAAAGGCGAAGGCAGUGUCCUGGCUGGCAACUGACGCUGAGGCGCGAAAGCUAGGGGAGCGAACAGG
rnacentral:rRNA from 1 species